UUCUGGAUACAUUGGAAAAUAUAGGAUGUAGGGGGUGGCCCGAAAUAUAUUUGAAAGCUACCUCAGAGAGAGGAGGCAAGUGGUGAGAAUAGAUGAAAAAAUUAUUUUGUAAAUUUGAAAAAACAAGACUCAUUUUGUAUCUUCGAUAAAAUGAUACCCUAUUGUAGAAAAUCAAUAAUAUUUCAUAUAUAUGAAACUUUUAGUGUUCGUUGAUGGGAGAAAACUGCCACAAAGUUGUGCUCCUAAUAGUUUUAUUACAUAUUACAAAAAAUACACUUUUCAGCGCAUGACAAUUUAAAAUUUUAUCUACAAGGAAAAAUUCAAUAACCACACCUAGGGUGAACAAGAUUGUCUCUAUGCAAAGCACUCAGUGAUCUGACAGAAACCUGGGAAAAAUGGGAUAAACAAUAUUGUACUGUAUAAUACCUACCUCAAUGUUUAAAGUUUAUUACAAAUGAAAAAUUAUGAAUUGUAUAGAGAAACAUUUAAUGAUAAUAAACAAACAAUAAAAUAUUAUUUCUACCUCUUAAAAUAAUGCAAAUAUAUUUAUAACUAGCUUUAAAACUCAUGUUAAAUGUAUAUAAAUUCGAAUAAAAUAAACACAGAGAUGUGCACCACUCUGAACAUCUUCGUCAGAGGUGAAUAAGCUAAAUGAACGAUUUUUGUCUAAUUAUGCUAUUAGUUAACAAACCUAUUAAAACAUAAUCAUUAGAAGACCAUUACCCUCAAAAAUCAGUCAGAAUAUCAAAAAGCGAUAACCAAAUUAAUCAAAAACUAUUGACUCAGAAUGAAUAAAUUCUAAAUUCAAAUAUAUCUCCAUUUUUGUUUAUAUAAUUCUUCUGGAAUUAUUCACAUUUUUCGAAGAAUACAUCUCCAUUUUUAAUACAUCAAAUUCAAAUGUACCUAAACUAUUCACUUCAAAAAUUAAUCCACAAAUUUUAAUUUACCCCUAAUCUGGAGUUAUUUACAAUUUAUUACAUAUAUUUAAAUAUUAACUGCAAAGAAUGAUAUAUUAAGAGUUCUCAAAAAAUGCGAAUAAUUCAUAUAAAAACAUUUGAAUUGAUAUUACUCAAAAUGGCUUUAAUAAAAUCUAAUAAACGUUCAAUUUGAACAAUAUCAUAUAUAAUUUACAUCUAUGAAAGAAUUGCACCAAUCUUUGGAUCAAAGGCCAAACUUCAUAUUUCUUCAAAAUAAUGUGAAUAAAACACAUUUCUGUAAUUCUGAACAGUUUCAAUAUGUACAUAUCUUUUGAAGAAAUACAAAAGCAUAACUAAAUAUCUUCAAGAAUUCUUCAAUUUAAUGUACCAGACCAACAGUUUGAACUAUGACAGUAUCAAAAAAAUUAUAUGUUGAACGAGUUAAAUUUAAUAAAAUUAUAAUUAUACUGGGCUGUUCAAGUAACAGAAAUUUUUAUCUAUGGUUACAUAAAAAAUAGUGGACAUUUUAACACUUAUAGGAUGCCUCGCUACUGAUAAGCCUGGAACAUAUUUUUAAUAGUUUUUUUUAUAGCAUCAUUGAUUCCAUGAGGGUAUUUUGUUAUGCAAACACAAUCGACAUUUGACAUCAAUUGAUAAUUCACAACUUUACACACUACUGUUCUUUAAACGUUUAAUGGACAUCCCAAUUAAGGAUUCGCUUAUGAACUAAUUUUAUGAAAAUAUAAAAAAUAAUUUUCGAAUAAAUUUUCCCCAUUUUAUUCCUUAUGUUGAUUUAAUUAAAUUUUUGUUUGAAGAUUUCUUAGUCAAAUAUUGAGCAAAUUCUAGGUUCCUCAUAUAUCUGUUGGGAAGUUCCCAAUUUAUUUGUGAGAAAAAAAUAAUUAACAACAAAAAUGAAAUAGUUUAUUGCAGUCAUGAAAUAAAAUCUCUAUCGAUUUAUUAAAAGUUGAUUAGAAAGAUCUGCUUACUAAUCUUUAAAUUAUAUAUAACAAUUCAAUGUACAUACAUAUGAGGUCAGCCGAUAAGAAUUUUUAAAUAUAGUCUUCAGAAAA